GCGGACAUCACUAUCUAGUUAAUAUCUAAGACUUAAAACAAAUGAAAAUUGAACUAUAAAAACACAAAAUGAAAAUGGUUGGACUUCAGCAACUUGUAAAUAUUAGGGAAUGCGAUUUCAAAGGAGAUCGAACUGUGGUUGGACUUAAAUAACUAACAAAUCACAUAUUAAGCUACAGAGAAAAUGGUUAUGUAUUCCAUUUUCUUACACACAAAAAAAAAAUUCUGGUUUAUUAGAUUUUUUUUUUGUCAUUUUUAGUGACGUGGGAUAAAGUUCCUAAUAUACUCCUAAAUUUAACAAAAAAAAAAUGAUGGCGUUAAUGAAAAUGGUCAAUGGUACAACACAUUGUAGAGUUCGAAGACUAAAAAACUAAUAUGAGAGUUUAGAGACCAAAAUUAAACUAGGAGUAAUGUUCAGAAACCAUUGGUACAAUUAAGUGUUUCUUAAGAAUAAUCAAAUGGUUGAAAAUCGAAUGGAAUCGUAAAAUAAAUUGGUUCGGCUGUAGUUUUGAGUUUUUAUUUUAGAUGUAUCCUCUUACUGGUUGAAAUAAAAAUGGUUUUUUUUUUUUAAGCGAAGGUACGAUAUUCAUUAAGUAAAUUAGAAUUCGUACAAAUUGAGGAUAGUGCGCAUAAUGGGCCUUGAUAAACCCUUUCUGGAGAUUUUAAUCCAGUCGAAGGAAAAAAGUGUCUUGCACAACAAGAGAACUACCCUCAAAUGAACAAUGGAAAAGAAUUACAACCCCUCCUCUAGAAGUAUAUCUUAGAUCAAAUCUAGAGGCUCCUCAAACCACAUUACCUCAUGAGCACUAUUAAUUCCCAACCGAGCAAGCUGAUAGGCUGCUGAGUUCCCUUCUCGUUGAAUAUGACUAACCACUGAAUCGACCACUCCAUGAGAAGGCAUCCCAAAUCAUUGAUUAUAGGACCUAAGGCAGAGUUGUCGUCCCCACUCCCCUGCGUGGAAGCCAACACGAACGCAAAGUCUCCAUCGAACUGAAUCUUCCCCUCCACUGUACAAAUAGUGCCCACCAAUAUUGCAGCUCUACGAGCUACAAAGAAUUCAGCAUGCAAUGCAGAGUUUACCCUCUCAAUGGGCCCAACAGCAGCGACAAGACACUCCCUCAAAUGAUUUCAAAUCACCACCCCAAAACCUCCCCGGUUACUUCUAUUGUUCCAAGCUCCAUCGAAGUUGCACUUAACCCAUCCCUCCGCAGGUCUCCCCCACUUCUGAUGCUCUCGGUUUGCCUUCCUCACCACUGGCUUGUGCCACUUAUGAAAUUCCUACAUCCAGCCCUCGGUACGAAGCAUAAUUUCAAGCGGCGGUAACUAGAUAAGAAUGUUGAAUUUAAUGUUAGUGAAAUUUUGAAGAUUGACGACAUGUUGAAUUUUGGCUAACAAUAUUGUAAAAAAAGGCAAAAGAAAGAAAAACUAUUAUAAUGUCAUUGGUUUGGUCGCAAUUUUUUUUGUGAAAUCAAUCCAACCUGAACAAUGCCCGGCCCUAAAGUAUAUGAUUAUAAGUGCUUGAAAAUUCCUGCAUACAUCCAUGGUCAUGUGAGACCCACGUGAUUUAACUUGUCAAGACUUUAUGUAAUUUUCAAAAAGAGAUUGAGUCAUUUACAAUUUUCAAAUCUUUAACAAUUGAAAUCACUGUUUUAUGGUAAUUAUACAAAAUUACUUUAAUUAUGAGUCGAAUCACAAUUUCAUAUCUCAUGUUUUAAAAAUUACAAAUAUUUAGUACUACGAUUUAGUGGUAUUCCUCUUCAGUUGCAAGUAAGAGGUCUUAAGUUCGAUUCUCGCCGAAGGUGAAUUUGAUCUUUCAUUGUUCAAAUAUGUUAUCUUUGAUGUUUUAACUUUUAGGGUUCAAUAUUUAAGAACCAUUUAUGAAAUUUUUAGUUCCUGGACUGAAUUAAUAUUCAAUAUUUUGCACUUCCCUACUGAUUAUUGAAUCAUUGAUGUUCUAUUCUAGGUGAACAUUUAACAGAUUUAUCAUGGACAAGUUAACAAAAUAAUUUUGUUGAAUGUUCUAAUUCAGUUCGACUGCCUUCUAGUUAGCCUACUUGAGCAUUUUCAUUUCUUAUGCUGAAAGAGCUCUACAUGCAUCUCUUCUUAUUAAGUUUUUGUUCUAUUGGUGUCCAUUGUCUUUGUCAGCUUAAGUUCUUGGACUACCUACAAUGGGAGGCAAUUAUUCGUUGGAUACUUGAGUAUUGCUUCACUAAUUUUCAUGUAUGUUUGCCAUUGAUUGUCAUCAUAACUUUGUGUCGAAUGAUCCUCAUUCAGAUUGUUCUUAGAUGGUUGAAUUUGUUCUCACUCAUGCCCUUUUUUUCUUCAAAAUUUGGUGAUCAAGACAAAAUGCGUUGAGUUCAUGCCAUUUAAUCUUUUCUUUGCAACUUUCAUAGUGAGUUUCUCAUUCACUGGACAUGGAGUGUUCAAGGUGAACCUUUUUCUCUAUGUAAGUACUAUAUUUUCUUCAAUCCAAAAUUUUAGCAAUUAUAUAAUCUCGCUCAUCAUAGCACAUAUUCGUCAUUCUCAUUUCUUGGUCCAAAUUGCAUCUUAAAACGUGGUUGAAUGUCCUUCACAUCAAGCACCAAUCAACCAUAUCACACUUGCAUUGCAUAAUCAUUAAGUUCAUUUCUUCAAUAUUUUGGAUGUAGAUGCCAAAUGGUACUGAGAAACAAUUUUAGCCUUUGUACAGUUGGUUCUAUUCUUCUGAAAAAGAUGCGGAAGAAGAACCAUUGAUAGUUGCACAUCUAUGUUACAGAGAUUUGAUUCAAAUUGGUGGAUUUGUGUAAGAAAAUAAGAAACCCUAACAUUUCUUUCGAGUUUAAGAGCUGAAAUGGACAUGCAUGUGUUUAUCAUUGUGAGAUAUAAGGGAUUGAGGAAUUUUGAGAGUGGUGGCUAGCUAAGGAAAUAGAGAAGGGAUAAUUCAUUUUGUUUUGGGAUCCAGAGUUUAUUAGAAAGUUGAAUUCUCAUGAUUUUGUUGUUGUUCUAAUAUCUUAUGUUCAUGUA